rnacentral:rRNA from 1 species
GACGAACGCUGGCGGCGUGCCUAAUACAUGCAAGUAGAACGCUGAAGGAGGAGCUUGCUUCUCUGGAUGAGUUGCGAACGGGUGAGUAACGCGUAGGUAACCUGCCUGGUAGCGGGGGAUAACUAUUGGAAACGAUAGCUAAUACCGCAUAAUAGUAGAUGUUGCAUGACAUUUGCUUAAAAGGUGCAAUUGCAUCACUACCAGAUGGCCCUGCGUUUUAUUAGCUAGUUGGUGGGGUAACGGCUCACCAAGGCGACGAUACAUAGCCGACCUGGGAGGGGGAGCGAGCAAACUGGGACUGAGGCACGGCCCAGCACCCUACGGGAGGCAGCAGUAGGGAAUCUUUGGAGAUGGACGGAAGUCUGACCGAGCGACGCCGGGGGAGCGAAGAAGGUUUUCGGAGCGGAAAGCUCGGUUGUAAGAGAAGAAAGAGCGUGAGAGUGGAAAGUUCACACUGUGACGGUACCUUAACAAAAAGGGACGGCUAACUACGUG